GACGAACGCUGGCGGCGUGCUUAACACAUGCAAGUCGAACGAUGACGCCCGAGCUUGCUCGGUCUGAUUAGUGGCGAACGGGUGAGUAACACGUGAGCAACCUGCCCUUCACUCUGGGAUAACCUCGGGAAAUCGGGGCUAAUACCGGAUAUGAGCUCCUGCUGCAUGGCGGGGGUUGGAAAGUUUUUCGGUGAAGGAUGGGCUCGCGGCCUAUCAGUUUGUUGGUGGGGUAGUGGGUUACCAAGGCGAUGACGGGUAGCCGGCCUGAGAGGGCGACCGGCCACACUGGGACUGAGACACGGCCCAGACUCCUACGGGAGGCAGCAGUGGGGAAUAUUGCACAAUGGGCGAAAGCCUGAUGCAGCGACGCCGCGUGAGGGAUGACGGCCUUCGGGUUGUAAACCUCUUUCGGCAGGGAAGAAGCGAAAGUGACGGUACCUGCAGAAGAAGCGCCGGCUAACUACGUG
rnacentral:rRNA from 1 species